GUGAGGAAUUUUCCGCAAUGGGCGAAAGCCUGACGGAGCAAUGCCGCGUGAAGGAUGAAGGCCUAUGGGUUGUACACUUCUUUUCUUAGAGAAGAAUAUUGACGGUAUCUGAGGAAUAAGCAUCGGCUAACUCUGUGCCAGCAGCCGCGGUAAGACAGAGGAUGCAAGCGUUAUCCGGAAUAAUUUGGCGUAAAGCGUCUGUAGGUGGCUUUAAAAGUCUCCUGUCAAAGAUCAGGGCUUAACCCUGGGCCGGCAGGAGGAACUCUGAGGCUAGAGUAUGGUAGGAGCAGAGGGAAUUCCCGGUGGAGUGGUGAAAUGCUUAGAGAUCGGGAGGAACACCAAAGGCGAAAGCACACUGCUGGGCCACAACUGACACUGAGACACGAAAGCGAGGGGAGCAAAAGGGAUUAGAAACCCGGGUAGUCC
rnacentral:rRNA from 1 species